rnacentral:rRNA from 1 species
GUGGGGAAUCUUCCGCAAUGGACGAAAGUCUGACGGAGCAACGCCGCGUGAGUGAUGACGGCCUUCGGGUUGUAAAGCUCUGUGAUCGGGGACGAAUGGCUGGUAUGCUAAUACCAUAUCAGAGUGACGGUACCCGAAUAGCAAGCCACGGCUAACUACGUGCCAGCAGCCGCGGUAAUACGUAGGUGGCAAGCGUUGUCCGGAAUUAUUGGGCGUAAAGCGCGCGCAGGCGGAUCAGUCAGUCUGUCUUAAAAGUUCGGGGCUUAACCCCGUGAUGGGAUGGAAACUGCUGAUCUAGAGUAUCGGAGAGGAAAGUGGAAUUCCUAGUGUAGCGGUGAAAUGCGUAGAGAUUAGGAAGAACACCGGUGGCGAAGGCGACUUUCUGGACGACAACUGACGCUGAGGCGCGAAAGCGUGGGGAGCAAACAGGAUUAGAAACCCCAGUAGUCC